rnacentral:rRNA from 1 species
CCUACGGGAGGCAGCAGUAGGGAAUUUUCGUCAAUGGGCGCAAGCCUGAACGAGCGAUGCCGCGUGAGUGAAGAAGGCCUUCGGGUCGUAAAGCUCUGUUGCGGGGGAAAAAAGGCAGCAUCAGGAAAUGGGUGCUGACUGAUGGUGCCCCGCCAGAAAGUCACGGCUAACUACGUGCCAGCAGCCGCGGUAAUACGUAGGUGGCGAGCGUUAUCCGGAAUGAUUGGGCGUAAAGGGUGCGCAGGCGGUCCUGCAAGUCUGGAGUGAAACGCAUGAGCUCAACUCAUGCAUGGCUUUGGAAACUGGAGGACUGGAGAGCAGGAGAGGGCGGUGGAACUCCAUGUGUAGCGGUGAAAUGCGUAGAUAUAUGGAAGAACACCAGUGGCGAAGGCGGCUGCCUGGCCUGUUGCUGACGCUGAGGCACGAAAGCGUGGGGAGCAAAUAGGAUUAGAUACCCUGGUAGUC